UGGGGAAUUUUGGACAAUGGGGGAAACCCUGAUCCAGCCAUCCCGCGUGUGCGAUGAAGGCCUUCGGGUUGUAAAGCACUUUUGGCAGGAAAGAAACGUCAUGGGUUAAUACCCCGUGAAACUGACGGUACCUGCAGAAUAAGCACCGGCUAACUACGUGCCAGCAGCCGCGGUAAUACGUAGGGUGCAAGCGUUAAUCGGAGUUACUGGGCGUAAAGCGUGCGCAGGCGGUUCGGAAAGAAAGAUGUGAAAUCCCAGAGCUCAACUGUGGAACUGCAUUUUUAACUACCGGGCUAGAGUGUGUCAGAGGGAGGUGGAAUUCCGCGUGUAGCAGUGAAAUGCGUAGAUAUGCGGAGGAACACCGAUGGCGAAGGCAGCCUCCUGGGAUAACGCUGACGCUCAUGCACGAAAGCGUGGGGAGCAAACAGG
rnacentral:rRNA from 1 species